UUGAGGCUCAUCGGGAAUUAACAGGACUUCACUGGAACCCAGAUGCUGAGCGUCUCUUGAUCUUUGGGGCUGCGGCAGAACAGCUGCUGGCAUGACACAACGGCAAUUCUUGCAGCUACCCUGAUGAAAUCCUUGAGCAAAUUAAGUCAGCCAACAAACUCCUUCCCCGGUGCCGAGCUGCCAGAGACCAUCAGGUUGGUCCUCUUAACUAUGUGGUGCCACUGAGCUGUCAUCAGCACCUCCCUGGAGCAAAUGAGAACAGGUGUGAAAGAUGGAAGCACCAGCUGCAGUAACCCUGCCAGAAAGUCAGCCGGUAUCUCGUAGCUAUCGAUUGACUCGGAAUCAGGGAGAUGUCUGACAACAGGUGCUGGCAACCAGCAAUGCCUCCUAACUCACCUUCCAAGGGCAGGCCUGGAAAACAAUCUUUCCAAGGUGCUGCAAGCACUGAUCAAUAAA